GCGUGGGUAUUAAUUUUUUGUUUUGUUUUUUUUGUUUGUACCAAAAUGAUGCAUUUGUAAAAGUUAGUUGUAUUACAUUGAUUAUUUUUUCUGUGUUCAUAAUCUAUAUUGUAUCACUGAUAUUUAGUAUCAUAUACACAAAUCAAACAUGUAUAUAUAAUGAAAUUUAUUUAUACGAUAUAUAGAAAACAAUUUUUUUUUUGAAUUAUGAAAAUAUCAGAUCUCA
rnacentral:lncRNA from 1 species